UACGGAGGAUGCGAGCGUUAUCCGGAUUUAUUGGGUUUAAAGGGUGCGUAGACGGACUUGCAAGUCUGAUGUGAAAAUCCGGGGCCCAACCCCGGAACUGCAUUGGAAACUGUAUAUCUAGAGUGUCGGAGAGGCAAGUGGAAUUCCUGGUGUAGCGGUGAAAUGCGUAGAUAUCAGGAGGAACACCAGUGGCGAAGGCGGCUUGCUGGACGAUGACUGACGUUGAGGCUCGAAAGCGUGGGGAGCAAACAGG
rnacentral:rRNA from 1 species